rnacentral:sRNA from 1 species
GGCCGCCGCUGGCGCUCAAGCAUGGCGGCGGCGGCGUUGGGCAGCUCCUCAGGCUCGGAGUCCCCGGCCGUGGCCGAGCUCUGCCAGAACACCCCGGAGACCUUUCUGGAGGCCUCCAAGCUGCUGCUCACCUAUGCUGACAACAUCCUCAGAAACCCUAAUGAUGAAAAAUAUAGAUCUAUCCGGAUUGGAAAUACAGCCUUUUCUACUAGACUCUUGCCUGUCAGAGGAGCUGUUGAAUGUUUAUUUGAAAUGGGCUUUGAAGAGGGAGAAACACAUCUCAUCUUUCCUAAAAAAGCUUCAGUGGAGCAGCUGCAAAAAAUUCGUGACCUGAUUGCCAUAGAGAGAAGUAGCAGAUUGGAUGGCUCAAAUAAGAGCCACAAAGUAAAGUCAUCUCAGCAACCUGCAGCCAGUACCCAGCUUCCUACAACACCGUCUUCAAAUCCCAGUGGGUUAAACCAGCACACAAGGAACCAUCAAGGGCAGUCAUCAGAUCCACCAUCUGCUUCAACGGUUACUGCUGAUUCAGCCAUUCUAGAAGUUCUUCAGUCCAACAUUCAGCAUGUGCUGGUCUAUGAAAAUCCUGCUCUUCAGGAGAAAGCGUUGGCUUGUAUUCCAGUCCAGGAACUAAAAAGGAAAUCACAAGAAAAGUUAUCAAGAGCUAGAAAAUUGGAUAAAGGUACCAAUAUAAGUGAUGAGGAUUUUCUUUUGCUGGAGCUUUUGCACUGGUUUAAGGAAGAAUUUUUUCAAUGGGUGAAUAACAUUUUGUGCAGCAAAUGUGGUGGACAGACUAGGUCUAGAGAUAGAUCAUUACUGCCCAAUGAUGAUGAGCUGAAGUGGGGUGCAAAGAAAGUGGAAGAUCAUUACUGUGAUGCCUGCCAGUUCAGCAAUCGAUUCCCAAGAUAUAAUAACCCUGAGAAACUUUUGGAAACAAGAUGUGGACGGUGUGGCGAGUGGGCCAAUUGUUUUACACUGUGCUGCCGAGCUUUAGGGUUUGAAGCUCGCUAUGUUUGGGAUUACACAGGUACAGAAUGUGGAAUGAGCAGAGGGUAGUAGGGCUUUGCAGGCUUACAGGUUUGGGUUUACAUUCUGAGUCCAUCAUUCUCUGUUACUUUUUGGCCUUGUCAGUCUGAUCUUCCAUUUGCCUUGUGUAAAACAGUAAUAAUACCAACCUUCCAGGUUUUUUGAAGGGAUCACAAGAGUUUUGUAAAACACCUAGCAUUGUGCCUGGUGCUUUGCACUAUAAAUAUUCCUUUUUUUCCCCUUUAUUUUAUUUGUAUUGAUGCAUAAUAGAUGUACAUAUUUGGGGGAUACUUGUAAUAAUUUAAUGCAUUUAUAUAAAUUCUACAGAGCAAAUGAGUAUUAUUGGGAUAUCUGAGAUCUUAAAUAUUUGUUGUUAUGUUGGAAACAUUUGAAUUACUCUCUUCUAGCUAUUAUGAAAUAUGCAGUAGAUUAUUGUAAACUGUAAACACCCUAUUGAUCUAUCAAACACUAGGUCUUAUUUCUUUUAUUAGCAAUUUACCGUGGCAUUUAUAGUGAUGCUAUUUAUAUAUGGAUAAAAACAUGUAAUAAUGUGCCAUAGAAAUCUUCAUUGCUAUAGGGAUUACUAUAAAAAAUUUAGUAAACUAUAAACUUAAAGCACAGUAUACAGAAAUAAUAAAAGUCAUGUGAUAUUUGUGUUGUCCCUAUUUAGAAAUGACUUGUGUGGUCUACAUGUUAAAAAGUUGUUUUCCUUGUGUUUCCAUUUUCUAAAGAAUUAAAUGAAACCUUCUAUUAAUAGUGUUCUCUUAAAAUCAAAUAUAAAGCAUAUAUUUACCAGAGAUUCUAUUAGACUUCCUGCUGGUUCUGGGCCUUAAAGUCCAGAGAGAGAGAGACUGUAGUUUCAAAAGUGUCAUUAAUUCCUUCAUGGUGGUAAACUCAGAAUGAUAUUUUUUAUGCUGCUGUUUAAUAUAUCUACCUUCUUAAGAGUUAUAGCGCACAUUAAGCCUAAAACUGACCACGUUAAAGGAGAUUGGAAAAACAUUUUUAAGGAUUUCAAAGAGACAGAAAUUAAUACAGGUAGUUGAUGUCACUUGGCGAUAUUCCUGCAAACAUGAAGAGGUGAUUGCCAGAAGAACUAAGGUUAAAGAAGCAUUACUUCGAGAAACUAUUAAUGGGCUUAAUAAGCAGAGGCAACUGUUUUUGUCAGAAAACAGAAGGAAAGAACUUCUCCAGAGGAUAAUUGUGGAGCUUGUUGAAUUUAUAUCUCCCAAAACCCCUAAACCUGGAGAACUUGGGGGAAGAAUAUCUGGGUCAGUGGCUUGGAGAGUAGCCCGAGGUGAAAUGGGUCUACAGAGAAAAGAAACCUCAUUUAUUCCCUGUGAAAAUGAGAAGAUUUCUAAACAGCUCCACCUUUGUUAUAAUAUUGUGAAAGAUUGUUAUGUUCGAGUUUCAAAUAACAAUGAAACCAUUUCUGGAUGGGAGAAUGGUGUGUGGAAAAUGGAAUCUAUAUUCAGAAAAGUUGAAACAGACUGGCACAUGGUAUAUUUGGCACGAAAGGAAGGAUCAUCUUUUUCUUAUAUUUCCUGGAAGUUUGAGUGUGGGUCUGUUCGCCUAAAAGUAGAUAGCAUUUCUAUUAGAACAAGUAGUCAAACUUUUCAGACUGGAACAAUAGAAUGGAAAUUGCGAUCUGAUACAGCACGAGUAGAACUGACAGGCGAUAACAGUCUUCACUCCUAUGCUGAUUUUUCUGGUGCCACUGAAGUUAUUUUGGAAGCAGAAUUAAGCAGAGGAGAUGGUGAUGUCGCUUGGCAACACACCCAGCUGUUUAGACAAAGCUUAAAUGACCAUGAAGAAGAUUGUUUGGAGAUAAUUAUAAAAUUCAGUGACCUUUGAGAACCUGAACAUUAUAGAAAAGCUGGCAAUAAUCAAGGACUUACUAAAGUAGUCUGUUGGUUCAGUGCAUGCUUAGUUGGCAGUUACCACCCUGUGCUAGCAUAUUUCUUUUGCUAGCUAUCCAUCAUGUAACCCUUAUGAAAAUUAUCUUUAUAUGUGGACUAUAAUAAAAUAUUGAAUUAAAAACUUU